CAAGUCGAGCGGUAGCACAGAGAGCUUGCUCUCGGGUGACGAGCGGCGGACGGGUGAGUAAUGUCUGGGAAACUGCCUGAUGGAGGGGGAUAACUACUGGAAACGGUAGCUAAUACCGCAUAAUGUCGCAAGACCAAAGUGGGGGACCUUCGGGCCUCAUGCCAUCAGAUGUGCCCAGAUGGGAUUAGCUAGUAGGUGGGGUAACGGCUCACCUAGGCGACGAUCCCUAGCUGGUCUGAGAGGAUGACCAGCCACACUGGAACUGAGACACGGUCCAGACUCCUACGGGAGGCAGCAGUGGGGAAUAUUGCACAAUGGGCGCAAGCCUGAUGCAGCCAUGCCGCGUGUGUGAAGAAGGCCUUCGGGUUGUAAAGCACUUUCAGCGGGGAGGAAGGCGAUAAGGUUAAUAACCUUGUCGAUUGACGUUACCCGCAGAAGAAGCACCGGCUAACUCCGUGCCAGCAGCCGCGGUAAUACGGAGGGUGCAAGCGUUAAUCGGAAUUACUGGGCGUAAAGCGCACGCAGGCGGUCUGUCAAGUCGGAUGUGAAAUCCCCGGGCUCAACCUGGGAACUGCAUUCGAAACUGGCAGGCUAGAGUCUUGUAGAGGGGGGUAGAAUUCCAGGUGUAGCGGUGAAAUGCGUAGAGAUCUGGAGGAAUACCGGUGGCGAAGGCGGCCUCCUGGACAAAGACUGACGCUCAGGUGCGAAAGCGUGGGGAGCAAACAGGAUUAGAUACCCUGGUAGUCCACGCCGUAAACGAUGUCGAUUUGGAGGUUGUGCCCUUGAGGCGUGGCUUCCGGAGCUAACGCGUUAAAUCGACCGCCUGGGGAGUACGGCCGCAAGGUUAAAACUCAAAUGAAUUGACGGGGGCCCGCACAAGCGGUGGAGCAUGUGGUUUAAUUCGAUGCAACGCGAAGAACCUUACCUGGUCUUGACAUCCACAGAACUUUCCAGAGAUGGAUUGGUGCCUUCGGGAACUGUGAGACAGGUGCUGCAUGGCUGUCGUCAGCUCGUGUUGUGAAAUGUUGGGUUAAGUCCCGCAACGAGCGCAACCCUUAUCCUUUGUUGCCAGCGGUUAGGCCGGGAACUCAAAGGAGACUGCCAGUGAUAAACUGGAGGAAGGUGGGGAUGACGUCAAGUCAUCAUGGCCCUUACGACCAGGGCUACACACGUGCUACAAUGGCAUAUACAAAGAGAAGCGACCUCGCGAGAGCAAGCGGACCUCAUAAAGUAUGUCGUAGUCCGGAUUGGAGUCUGCAACUCGACUCCAUGAAGUCGGAAUCGCUAGUAAUCGUAGAUCAGAAUGGUACGGUGAAUACGUUCCCGGGCCUUGUACACACCGCCCGUCACACCAUGGGAGUGGGUUGCAAAAGAAGUAGGUAGCUUAACCUUC
rnacentral:rRNA from 1 species